rnacentral:lncRNA from 1 species
GACAUCUCCUGGACUUUGCCUCUCCCUUCCUGGCCUGGCCAGCACCAGCGAUGGGCUUAACAGAGCAUGUCUGGGAGCAGUUAGGUUGUCUCGUAUGCUGUGAUGUGGCUUCCAGCAGGCACACAGGUUUUGCAGCAGCCCAGCAUGAGUAGCAGAUAGGAAGACCACACUGUCACCUCUCUUUUGUCGUUGAACCAGGUGCG